rnacentral:rRNA from 1 species
UACGGGGGGGGCAAGCGUUGUUCGGAAUUACUGGGCGUAAAGGGCUCGUAGGUGGCCAACUAAGUCAGACGUGAAAUCCCCAGGCUUAACCUGGGAACUGCGUCUGAUACUGGAUGGCUUGAAUUCGGGAGAGGGAUGCAGAAUUCCAGGUGUAGCGGUGAAAUGCGUAGAUAUCUGGAGGAAUACCGGUGGCGAAUGCGGCAUCCUGGACCGAGAUUUACACUGAUGAGCGAAAGCUAGGGGAGCAAACGGG